GUACACUCCUGCGGGAGGCAGCAGUAGGGAAUCUUCCACAAUGGGUGCAAACCUGAUGGAGCAAUGCCGCGUGAGUGAAGAAGGUCUUCGGAUCGUAAAGCUCUGUUGUUAGAGAAGAACACGUGCUAGGUAACUACUAGCGCCUUGACGGUAUCUAACCAGAAAGUCACGGCUAACUACGUGCCAGCAGCCGCGGUAAUACGUAGGUGACAAGCGUUGUCCGGAUUUAUUGGGCGUAAAGGGAGCGCAGGCGGUCUGUUUAGUCUAAUGUGAAAGCCCACGGCUUAACCGUGGAACGGCAUUGGAAACUGACAGACUUGAAUGUAGAAGAGGAAAAUGGAAUUCCAAGUGUAGCGGUGGAAUGCGUAGAUAUUUGGAGGAACACCAGUGGCGAAGGCGAUUUUCUGGUCUAACAUUGACGCUGAGGCUCGAAAGCGUGGGGAGCGAACAGGAUUAGAAACCCGUGUAGUCCCAUG
rnacentral:rRNA from 1 species